rnacentral:lncRNA from 1 species
AGGAUGUAAACUUCAUAUAUCCAGGUGAAAAGCUUCACCUCAACCCUUCUCCACAAUUACAGGCUUUUAUAACCCCAAAAGUUCUUCCCUUGCCACCAUAAAAAUGCCCCCCAUUUGCUCCCCCACCUUCCUAUUUACACCCCCCAACAACAAACAUCAAAAAGAAGUAAUUCAAAACCCUAAAGCCUACUCUCUUCCCAUUUUCCUUCUUACCCUCCCAUAUACUUUCUUCACCACUCCCUCAGUUGUUAUUCAUUUACACAAUUGAGGCAACCAAACCCCAAAAGUCCAAAGAGUAAAGUAAAGGAAUCCCACCACCUCCCAAUCUUUUCCCCCUCUAUCCCCUCCCACUACCAAAGACAUCUUGAAACAAAAUGUGAAACCAUGAGAGGCUUCAGACCCAUCACCUUGGCUUUGGUUGGGAACCAAACGACAGCAACGGCUGGAUAAGUCUCUGGCCGGCAGAUGGACUCCCCACGAACGUUGUCUGAGACCGAGUGAGCAUCUCAGUCAUCGAAGGGGUCUGAUAAGAGUGAACAAGGCUCGAACCGCCUGUGGU